CCGUCCACUUCGAUGGUCUUGUGGACAACUCUCUCAUGUACAUUUCAGGAUUUGUUGUGCGACGGUCUCUGAAGAAGCUUUCGUGUGAUGUCAGCCGUGCCAGCCUGGUGACAUGCUGCAUCUGCCAUCAAGGACCAGAGCUACCACCUGCUGAAUU